rnacentral:rRNA from 1 species
UACGUAGGGGGCAAGCGUUGUCCGGAUUUAUUGGGCGUAAAGAGCGUGUAGGCGGCCAGGUAGGUCUGCUGUGAAAACUCGAGGCUCAACCUCGAGAUGUCGGCGGAAACCAUCUGGCUAGAGUCCGGAAGAGGAAAGUGGAAUUCCCGGUGUAGCGGUGAAAUGCGCAGAUAUCGGGAAGAACACCCGUGGCGAAGGCGGCUUUCUGGACGGUACUGACGCUGAGACGCGAAAGCGUGGGGAGCGAACAGG